rnacentral:rRNA from 1 species
UACAGAGGGUGCAAGCGUUGUUCGGAAUUACUGGGCGUAAAGGGCGCGUAGGCGGCCCGUUAAGUCGAACGUGAAAUCCCCGGGCUCAACCCGGGAACUGCGUCCGAUACUGGCAGGCUUGAAUCCGGGAGAGGGAUGUGGAAUUCCAGGUGUAGCGGUGAAAUGCGUAGAUAUCUGGAGGAACACCGGUGGCGAAGGCGGCAUCCUGGACCGGCAUUGACGCUGAGGCGCGAAAGCCAGGGGAGCAAACGGG